UGACGUCGAGCUCAAUCGAGCCGUUGCCUAGAGAAAGAUGAAAAGGAGAAAAAUAUUUGGUUCUUCUCUUCUCUCGUUGCCGACACGAACUCUCCCUCCACUACGAUGUUGUUGUUUACCUGAUAUGAUGAUGAUUACUAUUUGCCUGAAUCCUGGCCAACUUAUCUGCCUGCUUGUUUUCGGGCGAUUGGGGUUUAUCGCCAAAUCUUGCAGCAGCUGUUGUACUGUAAUAUAGCAACAUUUACUUCCUUCCUCUUGUGAGGGAAGAGACAGACAAAGUAACUUAUUUCAACCUUUAGCUACAGUUUCCCUUCUUGUUUUUACUUUUUACUCUUCAUGUAUAACUUGUUUGGGAUCGAUGAACUGGAAAAAAAUCCUUUAAAUGUUGAGAUCAAAGUUGUGUUAACUGUUAAGUAAAUGAAGUUCAACCACAUUUCAGCUUCUAUAUUUCUUCAUUCUCAAAUACCAUGAACAAAUUUACCCUGCUUUUCUUUGAAGACCAUAACCUUUACUAUUCUAAAUUCCUGGUGCAUGUGCUACUGACUUGUCGUUUUCAACGAUCCACAAUUUCAGUUUGUAUUACUACUAAUGCAUUGUAGCAGUUCCCCAUAAUAGUGUAUAAUCCAUGUUUUUUUCUGUUUAGGUUGAUGUUUCUAUUUGUGUCAUUGAAAGUAAAUUUAGUGGCUAACUUUUGAUUUCUUAGUCUAUAAACAACAUUAGCUACAGAUAGUGGGUCUUCUGGAAACUGGAACUGGAACAUUUUGCAUCAACGAUUUGGAGUAUGGUUACACAUUAAGCAUUAGCUGAAAACAUAAGAAGUCACGCUGAAAGUAGAAGACUCUACUUGGUGCUGUAACUUCAACCUUAAUGCUUCAUGGCACAUGUGACACUUUCAUAUGAAACGUCAAGACGAUAAGUUAUUUGCAGGAUCAACUACUGCAACUAUCAAAGCAAUGCUAAUAGCAUCAAGUGGGGUGGCAUAGCAUAAAAAGUGGAAGGUAUUUGGAUACACUUUACUAUUGUUGGCAGUUUUUUUCUGUUAUUUAUAUUCACUAACGAAUUUAACAAAUGUUCUUACAUUUCAGGUUAGAUUUGUUUUGUCAUUUGUACAUUGGAGAAUGGUGCCGCAAUAGUAGUCAUAUUCUGUCUCUUAUGGUUUGGUUGCAGGAACAAAUGUUGUGACCCGUCUAGAUAUUGUUUGGUUACCUUGUCAUGCAAUAGUAUAUUUGCUUGGAGUAUCAUUUUAAUUGCAAAGACUGAAGCUCUGUUUGGAAGUGAUCUUUAUAUGCUUGCCUCAUCUACAAAAAAAUAUGGCUUAAAUUUUUCUUGAUACACAAACAUUUGUAGUCUUCAGCUGGUAGUAAUAUUAUCUUGAUCUGAUCUUCACUUAUACUGGGAUAAGACAAAACCACACAGUCUUCUUUCUACUGCCACUGUUCCAAAAUUAUAAGCACUUCAACUAUGUCCUAAGUCAAACUUCUCUAACUUUGAUAACUUCUUUUUGGAAAAAAGCACCAACACAUCUACAAAAUUAAAUUAGUACCAUUAAAUUCUCCAUGUCUUGAUAAUGCAUUUAUUUGAACUUGUAGAUGUUAUAAUAUAUUUUCUAAAAGAAUGGUCAAGGUUAGAGAAGUUUAACUCUAUACAAAGCAAAAGUGGCCUAUACUUUGGAUAAUAUUAUUGACCCUGUGGGUAGGGAUGGAACCGGAUCCGUUACAGACAGAUACUAGUGAUCUUGCAUUAUGUCUGAUAUCCCAUAUUCUACCCCAUAUUUUUGUCGGAUCUCAGAAGCAGACAUGGAUCAUUCAGAUAUUGCUGCCUAUCUCAUACAUAUAUACAUAUAUAUUAAAAAAAAUCUGAUUUUGAGUAUUCAGAUCUGGAUACGGUCAGAUAUUAAAUGUUUGGAUUCAGAUACAGACUAUCUAUGUAGAGUUUUGACCCUUCCGGGACAGACAAAUAUCAGGAAAUAUGUCCUGUUUUCGUCCCUACCUGUGGGUAUGUUUGUUUAUGUAAAAUUUGACAUUUAGGCGUCUCCUAGAAGGCAUGUCCUGGCUAUCACUAUGGCAAACAAAACUGUCCUUAUUGCUGAUCAAGUAAUCCUGGCAGUAUUCAUCGACUGGACCUUAGCAUGAUGAACUCAACCAAUAAAAAAGAGCAAGCAUAAACCUACAUCGCAUUCAGUCAAAUCAUUUUCCACUUCGACCAACUGUACCAAGGGUAUACAUUGUUACUUGUUAGCUGUCAGUAGGGAUGACAAUGGGUACUAGAAACUCGAUACUCGAUGGUAAAAACCUAUUAGGCAUGGGUAUGACGAAUUUUAAUAUCCAUGGGUAUUUUAUUGGGUCAUUUGCUAUACCUAUCGGAUAUGGUGAGUAUAGGUAUGUUCUCUCUUGUCCCAUAAUCGUUAUCUAAUACGAAAUCCGCUAACAGACAUAUGGGUUUGGAUUAAUGAGCUUGUUCUCUCUCAUGCAUGAACUUAUAUGGUGUUGCCAUUUAAUGCUAAAUGUUAUUGAUUUUAUGAUAAAAUUGUGUUGGGUUUGAAGAAUUUAUCAUGCUAACACAAUUACACAAAGAUAAUGUGUUAUUUUAGCAUCUUUCAAUAUUGAUGGGGUAUGUGGUUUCAACAUUUUGUAUUCAGUAUUCGUACUUACUUUUGCGAUUCAAAUGAUUAUGUCUAUUAUAAUGUUAGUGGGUAUGGAUACUCGCUACUUGUGGUGGGUAUGGAUAUGACGUAAUUUUGUACUUAUGAUAUAUAGUGGGUAUGAAUAUAAGAUAUUUUUUUUCUAAUGGAUAUGAGUAUAGCUUUGUGUCCCCAUUGGAUGCCUUACUGAGAGCACCUAGAGGGGGGGGUGAAUAGGUGAUCCUGUAAAAACUUAAACUUAUAGCCACAAAACUUGAUUAGGCGUUAGCACAGUUUAUGCCAAGUGGCUAGAGAGGAGUCAAAACACAAUAACCACAAGAAUCCAAUCACAGAAAUGACACAGUGGUUAUCCCGUGGUUCGGCCAAGUACAAAACUUGCCUACUCCACGUUGUGGCGUCCCAACGGACGAGAGUUGCACUCAACUCCUCUAAGUGAUCCAAUGAUCAACUUGAAUACCACGGUGUUCUUGCUUUUCUUUUCUCAAUCCCGUUUGCGAGGAAUCUCCACAACUUGGAGCCUCUCGCCCUUACAAAAGAUGUUCACAGAGAAUCACAGAGCAAGGGAGGGAUUAGCAACUCACACACGACACAAAGAUCACAGCGAAUACGCACACACAAGACCCAGACUUGAGCUCAAAAGACUAGCACACUAGAACGGAGCUCAAAUCACUAGAGUGUCGAACAAGUGCGCGAGAUUGAUGUGUGAGUGAUCAAGAGUGCUCAAGGAAUGCUUGGGUUCGUCCUCCAUGCGCCAAGGGGUCCCUUUUAUAGCCCCAAGGCAGCUAGGAGCCGUUGGGAACAAAUCUGGAAGGCCAUCUUUGCCUUCUGUCUCGUGGCGCACCGGACAGUCCGGUGCACACCGGACACUGUCCGGUGCCCGAUUUGUUUCCUUAAACAGCGCAUCCGACCGUUGCUGUCAGAGUCAGAUCUGUGCACCGUUGGCGCACCGGACAUGUCCGGUGCACACCGGACAGUCCGGUGCCCCUUCCUGACCGUUGGCUCGGCCACGUGUCGCGCGCCGAUCGCGCGGCCGACCGUUGGCCCGGCCGACCGUUGGCUCACCGGACAGUCCGGUGCACACCGGACAGUCCGGUGAAUUUUAGCCGAAGUCGCCGGAGAAAAACCCGAGAGCGGCUGGUUUGCUCUGUGGUGGUCUGGCGCACCGGACACUGUCCGGUGCACACCGGACAGUCCGGUGCCCCAGUCCGAAGCAGCCUUUGGCUGUACACAGCCACUCUCCACUUCUUUUCUUUUCUUCUUUCUCCUGUUUCUAACACUUAGACAAGAUGUCAGUACACAAAACUAAUGUACUAAGGCUUAGAAACAUACCUUUACUUGUGAUUUGCACUUUGUUCAUCCAUGGGCAUAUUUUCACAUUUAAGCACUUGUGUUUGCACUCAAUCACCAAAAUACUUAGAAAUGGCCCAAGGGCACAUUUCCCUUUCAAUCUCCCCCUUUUUGGUGAUUUAUGCCAACACAACAUAAAGCAACUAGAACAAGUGCAAAAUCACUUCAAAUAAAAACUGACUUUGAGUUUUAUUCAAUUUUGGCAUAUAUGGAUCAUCUUUUGCCACCACUUGGUUUGUUUUUGCAAAUCAAGCUCAAAUCUCUAUCUCUAAGUCAAACACACAUGUUGAAGCAUAACGAGAGUCAUUCCAAAAGAGAUUGAUCAAAGAUUUCAAAAACUCCCCCUAUUUCCCAUAAUCAACACUUCUCCCCACAAGAAGCCAACUUUUGACAAUAGAGACAAUAAGAGACAAUAAAAGCUUUUGACAAAACAAAAACUCUAUUCUACUAUUUUCAAAAUCUCUCAAGUGGUAGCUGAUCCAUUUAUCACUUUGGCCUUUAUUUUCUCCCCCUUUGGCAUCAAGCACCAAAACGGGAUCAAUCUUGGCCUUUUAACCCCAUUGCCUCACAAAAAUCUUCAAUUAAGAUCAAAUGGCAAUAAGAGUUCAUGAGAUGAACUUGGAAUUAGUUACCCUCUCAUCGGAGUGCAGUGGAAGUCUUUUAUGGUCCAAGUCCACCUUUUCCCUUUCAAUUCUCCUUCGAGUCUAAGUCAAACAAACUCAAGCACAUGGUUAGUCUCAAAGGGUCAAGUUGUAACACAUCUCCCCCUAAACAUGUGCAUCACUUUGCAACGGACUUGUGAGGUCCAGGGAGUGUUUGUACAACUUGAGCACCAUAAUAAGCAACAAAAUGCAAAAAGGAACAUGAUCAAAAGCAUAAGUACAUGUAUGCUACAAUUUAAUCCAGGUUCCGCGAAUCUAUGACAUUUAGCUCACUACGCAACUUGCAAAAGGUCUUCUCAUCUAGAGGCUUAGUGAAGAUAUCAGCUAGCUGGUUCUCGGUGCUAACAUGAAACACUUCGAUAUCUCCCUUUUGCUGGUGGUCUCUCAAAAAGUGAUGCCGGAUGUCUAUGUGCUUUGUGCGGCUGUGCUCAACAGGAUUCUCCGCCAUGCGGAUAGCACUCUCAUUGUCACAUAGGAGUGGGACUUUGCUCAGAUUGUAGCCAAAGUCCCGGAGGGUUUGCCUCAUCCAAAGUAGUUGCGCGCAACACUGACCUGCGGCAACGUACUCGGCCUCAGCGGUGGAUAGGGCAACGGAUGUUUGUUUCUUAGAGUUCCAUGACACCAGGGACCUUCCUAAGAAUUGGCACGUCCCCGAUGUACUCUUCCUAUCGACCUUACAUCCAGCAUAGUCGGAGUCUGAGUAUCCAACUAAGUCAAAGGUAGACCCCUUUGGAUACCAGAGCCCAAAGCAAGGCGUAGCAACCAAAUAUCUAAGAAUUCGCUUCACCGCCACUAAGUGACACUCCUUAGGAUCGGAUUGAAAUCUAGCACACAUGCAUACGCUAAGCAUAAUAUCCGGUCUACUAGCACAUAAAUAAAGCAAAGAACCUAUCAUUGACCGGUAUGCUUUUUGAUCAACGGACUUACCUCCUUUGUUGAGGUCGGUGUGUCCGUCAGUCCCCAUCGGAGUCUUUGCGGGCUUGGCGUCCUUCAUCCCAAACCGCUUUAGCAGAUCUUGCGUGUACUUCGUUUGGGAGAUGAAGGUGCCGUCCUUGAGUUGCUUCACUUGGAACCCAAGGAAGUAGUUCAACUCGCCCAUCAUCGACAUUUCGAAUUUCUGCGUCAUCACCCUGCUAAACUCUUCACAAGACUUUUGGUUAGUAGAACCAAAUAUUAUGUCAUCGACAUAAAUUUGGCACACAAACAAAUCACCAUCACAUGUCUUUGUAAAAAGAGUUGGAUCGGCUUUCCCAACCUUGAAAGCAUUAGCAAUUAAAAAGUCUCUAAGGCAUUCAUACCAUGCUCUUGGGGCUUGCUUAAGUCCAUAGAGCGCCUUAGAGAGCUUACACACAUGGUCGGGGUACCGUUCAUCCUCGAAGCCAGGGGGUUGCUCCACGUACACCUCCUCCUUGAUUGGCCCGUUGAGGAAAGCGCUCUUCACAUCCAUUUGGUACAACCUGAAAGAAUGGUGAGCGGCAUAUGCUAGCAAGAUACGAAUUGACUCUAGCCUAGCCACAGGAGCAAAAGUCUCCUCAAAGUCCAAACCUGCGACUUGGGCAUAACCUUUUGCCACAAGUCGAGCCUUGUUCCUCGUCACCACCCCGUGCUCGUCCUGUUUGUUGCGGAACACCCACUUGGUUCCCACAACAUUUUGCUUCGGACGAGGCACCAGUGUCCAAACUUCAUUGCGCUUGAAGUUGUUGAGCUCCUCCUGCAUGGCCAAUACCCAAUCCGGAUCUAGCAAGGCCUCCUCUACCCUGAAAGGCUCAAUAGAAGAGACAAAGGAGUAAUGCUCACAAAAAUUAACUAAUCGAGAUCGAGUAGUUACUCCCUUGCUAAUGUCACCCAGAAUUUGAUCGACGGGAUGAUCCCUUUGAAUUAUCGCUCGAACUUGGGUUGGAGGUGCCGGUUGCGCUUCUUCCUCCAUCACUUGAUCAUCUUGUGCUCCCCCUUGAUCACACGCCUCCUGUUGAUGAACCUGUUCAUUGUCUUGAGUUGGGGGUAGCACCAUGGUCGAGGAAGAAGGUUGAUCUCGUUCAUCUUGUUCCUGUGGCCGUACUUCUCCAAUCGCCAUGGUUCGUAUAGCGGCCGUCGGAACAUCUUCUUCAUCUACAUCAUCACAAUCAACAACUUGCUCUCUUGGAGAGCCAUUAGUCUCAUCAAAUACAACGUCGCUAGAGACUUCAACCAAACCCGAUGAUUUGUUGAAGACUCUAUACGCCUUUGUAUUUGAGUCAUAACCUAACAAAAAUCCUUCUACAGCUUUGGGAGCAAACUUAGAAUUUCUACCCUUCUUCACUAGAAUGUAGCACUUGCUCCCAAAUACACGAAAGUAAGAUACAUUGGGUUUGUUACCGGUUAGUAGUUCAUACGACGUCUUCUUGAGGAGUCGGUGAAGGUAGACCCUGUUGAUGGCGUGGCAAGCCGUGUUCACGGCUUCCGACCAAAACCGCUCGGGGGUCUUAAAUUCUCCAAGCAUCGUCCUCGCCAUGUCGAUUAGCGUCCUGUUCUUCCUCUCUACCACACCAUUUUGCUGUGGUGUGUAGGGAGCGGAGAACUCGUGCUUGAUCCCUUCCUCCUCAAGAAACUCUUCCACUUGAAGGUUCUUGAACUCGGACCCGUUGUCACUCCUUAUCUUCUUCACCUUGAGCUCAAACUCAUUUUGAGCUCUCCUGAGGAAGCGCUUGAGGGUCCCUUGGGUUUCAGACUUAUCCUGCAAAAAGAACACCCAAGUGAAGCGGGAAAAGUCAUCAACAAUAACUAAACCAUACUUACUUCCUCCUAUGCUCAGAUAGGCGACGGGUCCAAAAAGGUCCAUAUGCAGCAUCUCCAAGGGUCUUGAUGUCGUCAUCACAUUUUUGGUGUGAUGAGAGCCUCCCACCUGUUUCCCUGCUUGACAAGCUGCACAAGGUCUAUCUUUUUCGAAUUGAACAUUAGUUAGACCUAUCACGUGUUCUCCCUUUAGAAGCUUGUGAAGGUUCUUCAUCCCCACAUGUGCUAAGCGGCGAUGCCACAGCCAGCCCAUGCUAGUCUUAGCUAUUAAGCAUGCAUCUAGACCGGCCUCUUCUUUUGCAAAAUCUACUAAAUAAAGUUUGCCGUCUAAUACACCCUUAAAAGCUAGUGAACCAUCACUUCUUCUAAAGACAGACACAUCUACAUUUGUAAAUAGACAGUUAUAUCCCAUAUUGCAUAAUUGACUCACAGAUAGCAGAUUAUAUCCAAGACUCUCUACUAAAAAUACAUUAGAGAUAGAAUGCUCAUUAGAAAUCGCAAUUUUACCUAACCCUUUUACCUUGCCUUGAUUCCCAUCACCGAAUAUAAUUGAAUCUUGGGAAUCCUUAUUCUUGACGUAGGAGGUGAACAUCUUCUUCUCCCCCGUCAUAUGGUUUGUGCAUCCGCUAUCAAUAAUCCAGCUUGAACCCCCGGAUGCAUAAACCUGCAAGGCAAAUUUAGGCUUGGGACUUAGGUACCCAACUCUUGUUGGGUCCUACAAGGUUAGUCACAAUUUCCUUAGGGACCCAAAUGCAAGUUUUAUCACCUUUGCAUUUUGCCCCUAACUUCCUAGCAAUUACUUUUCUAUCCUUUCUACAAAUUGCAAAUGAAGCAUUCAAAGCACAAUAAAUUGUAGAGGGUUCAUUCACUACUUUUCUAUGAACAUUUGCAACAUUUCUUUUAGGAACAACAUUUCUCCUAGUAACAUUUCUAUCAUACACAUUAGAAGAACUAGGAGCAAACAUGGCAUGAGAAUCAUAAACAUAUGAAUCAAAAGCAUCAUAACUUCUAUUUCUAGUUUGUCUUUUAUCAUGAUACAAAAAGGCAUGGUUCCUUUUAGCACUAGUAGCCAUAGGGGCCUUCCCUUUCUCCUUGGCGGGAAUGGGAGCCUUAUGGCUUGUUAAGUUCUUGGCUUCCCUCUUGAAGCCAAGUCCAUCCUUAAUUGAGGGGUGUCUACCAACCGUGUAGGCAUCCCUAGCAAAUUUUAGUUUUUCAAAAUCACUUUUGCUAGUCUUAAGUUGAGCAUUAAGGCUAGCCACUUCAUCACUUAAUUUUGAAAUGGAAACUAAGUGUUCACUACAAGCAUUAAUAUCAACAUCCUUACACCUAGUGCAAAUUUCAACAUGUUCAACACAAGAGUUGGAUUUAUUUGCUUCUACUAGUUUAGCAUUUAAAUCAUCGUUUAUGCUCUUUAAUUUAGAAAUAGAAUCAUGGCAUGUUGACACUUCACAAGCAAGCAUUUCAUUCCUCUUAAUUUCUAAUGCAAGGGAUUUUUGAGCCUCUACAAACUUAUCAUGUUCUUCAUACAACAGAUCCUCUUGCUUUUCUAAAAGUAUAUUCUUUUCAUUCAAGGCAUCAAUUAAUUCAUUAAUUUUGUCUAUCUUAGAUCUAUCUAAGCCCUUGAACAAACAUGAAUAAUCUACUUCAUCCUCAUCACUAGAUUCGUCCUCACUUGAAGAAGCAUAGGUAGAGUUGCGAGUACAUACCUUCUUCUCCUUUGCCAUAAGGCAUGUGUGACGCUCGUUGGGGAAGAGGGUUGAUUUGUUGAAGGCGGUGGCGGCGAGUCCUUCAUUGUCGGAGUCGGAAGAGGAGCAAUCCGAGUCCCAUUCCUUGCCUAGAUGCGCCUCGCCCUUUGCCUUCUUGUAAUGCUUCUUCUUUUCCCUCUUGUUUCCCUUUUCCUGAUCACUAUCAUUAUCGGGGCAGUUAGCGAUAAAAUGACCAAUCUUACCACACUUGAAGCAUGAGCGCUUUCCCUUCGUCUUGGUCUUGCUUGGCUGCCCCUUGUGACCCUUUAGCACCGUCUUGAAGCGUUUGAUGAUGAGAGCCAUCUCUUCAUCAUUAAGUCCGACCGCCUCAAUUUGUGCCACCUUGCUAGGUAGCGCCUCCUUACUUCUUGAUGCUUUGAGAGCAAAAGGUUGUGGUUCGUUGAUCGGUCCAUUCAAGGCGUCGUCCACGUAUCUUGCCUCCUUGAUCAUCAUUCGCCCGCUGACGAAUUUUCCUAAGACUUCUUCGGGCGACAUUUUGGUGUACCUGGGAUUCUCACGAAUAUUAUUCACCAAAUGAGGAUCAAGAACGGUAAAGGACCUUAGCAUUAGUCGGACGACGUCGUGGUCCGUCCAUCGCGUGCUUCCGUAGCUCCUUAUUUUGUUGAUAAGGGUCUUGAGCCGGUUGUAUGUUUGAGUUGGCUCCUCGCCCCUUAUCAUCGCGAACCGUCCAAGCUCGCCCUCCACCAACUCCAUUUUGGUGAGCAAGGUAGCGUCAUUUCCCUCAUGAGAGAUCUUGAGGGUAUCCCAGAUUUGCUUGGCGUUAUCCAAGCCACUCACUUUGUUAUAUUCAUCCCUGCACAAUGAAGCUAGAAGAACAGUAGUAGCUUGUGCAUUCUUAUGGAUUUGCUCAUUAAUGAAUAUAGGACUAUCUGAACUAUUAAAGUGCAUUCCACUAUCUACAAUCUCCCAUAUACUAGGAUGGAGAGAAAAUAGGUGACUACGCAUUUUGUGGCUCCAAAAUCCGUAGUCCUCCCCAUCAAAGUGUGGGGGCUUGCCGAGUGGAAUGGAAAGCAAAUGUGAAUUUGAGCUUUGCGGAAUACGAGAGUAGUCAAAGGAAAAGUUAGAAUUAACCGGCUUCCUUUGCUCGUAGUCGUUGUGGUCGUCGUUCUUUUGGGAAGAAGUAGACUCAUCACUGUCGUCGUAGUAGACGAUCUCCUUGAUGCGCCUUGUCUUCUUCUUCUUCCCUUCCUUUCGUCUAUGACCCGAGCCGGAGUCGGUAGGCUUGUCAUCUUUGAGCUCAUUGACGAAGGACUCCUUCUCCUUAUCGUUGAUCACGAUUCCCUUCCCCUUAGGAUCCAUCUCUUCGGGCGGCUAGUCCCUUUCUUGAAGAGAACGGCUCUGAUACCAAUUGAGAGCACCUAGAGGGGGGGGUGAAUAGGUGAUCCUGUAAAAACUUAAACUUAUAGCCACAAAACUUGAUUAGGCGUUAGCACAGUUUAUGCCAAGUGGCUAGAGAGGAGUCAAAACACAAUAACCACAAGAAUCCAAUCACAGAAAUGACACAGUGGUUAUCCCGUGGUUCGGCCAAGUACAAAACUUGCCUACUCCACGUUGUGGCGUCCCAACGGACGAGAGUUGCACUCAACUCCUCUCAAGUGAUCCAAUGAUCAACUUGAAUACCACGGUGUUCUUGCUUUUCUUUUCUCAAUCCCGUUUGCGAGGAAUCUCCACAACUUGGAGCCUCUCGCCCUUACAAAAGAUGUUCACAGAGAAUCACAGAGCAAGGGAGGGAUUAGCAACUCACACACGACACAAAGAUCACAGCGAAUACGCACACACAAGACCCAGACUUGAGCUCAAAAGACUAGCACAUUAGAACGGAGCUCAAAUCACUAGAGUGUCGAACAAGUGCGCGAGAUUGAUGUGUGAGUGAUCAAGAGUGCUCAAGGAAUGCUUGGGUUCGUCCUCCAUGCGCCAAGGGGUCCCUUUUAUAGCCCCAAGGCAGCUAGGAGCCGUUGGGAACAAAUCUGGAAGGCCAUCUUUGCCUUCUAUCUCGUGGCGCACCGGACAGUCCGGUGCACACCGGACACUGUCCGGUGCCCGAUUUGUUUCCUUAAACAGCGCAUCCGACCGUUGCUGUCAGAGUCAGAUCUGCGCACCGUUGGCGCACCGGACAUGUUCGGUGCACACCGGACAGUCCGGUGCCCCUUCCUGACCGUUGGCUCGGCCACGUGUCGCGCGCCGAUCGCGCGGCCGACCGUUGGCCCGGCCGACCGUUGGCUCACCGGACAGUCCGGUGCACACCGGACAGUCCGGUGAAUUUUAGCCGAAGUCGCCGGAGAAAAACCCGAGAGCGGCUGGUUUGCUCUGUGGUGGUCUGGCGCACCGGACACUGUCCGGUGCACACCGGACAGUCCGGUGCCCCAGUCCGAAGCAGCCUUUGGCUGUACACAGCCACUCUCCACUUCUUUUCUUUUCUUCUUUCUCCUGUUUCUAACACUUAGACAAGAUGUCAGUACACAAAACUAAUGUACUAAGGCUUAGAAACAUACCUUUACUUGUGAUUUGCACUUUGUUCAUCCAUGGGCAUAUUUUCACAUUUAAGCACUUGUGUUUGCACUCAAUCACCAAAAUACUUAGAAAUGGCCCAAGGGCACAUUUCCCUUUCACUUACCCACUGCUAUCCCUAGCGGUCAGCAUGGGACUAUAGCAUCUUGAUGACUGUGCUGACUCUGUGAGUGAAGUGUAUUGAAUAAAUAUGGAAUGUGAACGAAACAUAUGAUAAUAUGACAGGCUCUUGUACCGAAGGCAAGGAAAUAUGGCGUUGUUUUCUUAAAUAUUAUGCUAUUGGAUAAUGAUUGUUAUGGUGAUUAAGAUUAUAGCAAUGUACACCUAGAUUCAGAUUUGUUUGGAGAAUGGACUUUCUUAAGUUUAGCAUCUCUUCUUAUAAUCAACCUUUUAUUUUGAUGUUUUUAUUAUUUUCAUGCCAUUCAUAAAUGUUUCACUCAUCAUUGAAAUAAUGUACUAAAGGUAAACUUUUUUCGUUUGAGAAUCUUAAAUAAUUAUUACUACGGCAUUUUUCUGGCAGCUUCUACUUGCAUAUUGCUUGAUUUGGAGCCCCUGCAAAUUUACUUGGGGUAGAGGGCCAAUUGGACUAUAGCCUCUUGAUGACGGUGCCCUCAUGUGUCAGACUGUAAAGUGAAAUGUUCUCUGCCUCUUGAUGACGGUGCCCUCAUGCGUUCAGACUGUAAAUUGAAAUGUUCUCUGCUAGAUUAUUCACAAACGUUUCAGCUAUAUCGUCCUCCUAAAAUUUACUUUUUCACCGCCCUAUAAAAGAUUCCAUUCUUGAUCUUCCUAAAUCCUAGCUUUCACAGUUGUUCUCUCUAAGGCUCUAUUUGUUUGCUUACAAGAUUAUAUAAAAAACUCUGCUGGUAGGAGAAAGACUGUCCCCAUGAUAUUAUUAUAUUAAGAAGAAGCUUAAUCGGAGCCUCAAUCGAGAAAGGUCAUGAAAGCUGGUCUCCGAUUAGGAAACUAGCGAGUGGUCUUUUUUAAUCUCAGCCUGAAAUUCGCUCCCACUGAGAUUCGAACUCAGGAUCUAAAAAGUGCUAAUCAGACCACCGAACCAACUCGGCUAGAGGCCCAGCUUAUGGAUUAUAUAAACAUCUAUUAACCUGCUUACGUAUUAUCAUAAUCUAGUUAUCUAGAUUACAUAAUUCAUCUAAUAAUCUUUAUUGUUUGUUUACCUCUCAACUUAUUUAGGUUGGAUUAUAUAAUCUAGGGAAUAAACAAACAUGGUCUAAAUCUACUUUGUAUACAUAAUACACAUAUUUGUAAUAUAUUUUAAAUUAGUUUUUUAUAUGUAUUAGUCAUAGUCUAAAAUGAUAUGUAUAUAUUAAUUAUGUGUUUAAUUUUUAGUUUAGGGCUAGUUUGGUAACUCUAUUUUUCUAAUUAAUUCUUAUUUACCAAGAAAAAAUGAAAAUUUAUCUUAGAAAAAUAGAAAUUUCUUAGAAAAAUAAAGUUGCCAAACUAGCCCUUAGAGUAUAAAAAAUAAAAGGAAAGAUAGAACAUCCUUGAUAGCGGUAGAAGACUUGCCUAUAAAUUUAUAGUGUUUUUUAAGGCAACCCCUGCAGUUUUAAGAUGCACCUAAAACUUGCUGGGGGUAGAGGGCCAAUCGUUGAAAGGAGUGCUUGAGCAGGAAUACCAUGGAGCUUGUUUGUCAGAGGAACUCGUUCGUUGAGUCUGAAACCAGGAGAGCUACGGUGUCACUUCAAAGCAGUUUCUUCUUAAUAUCCAGAGUAUCACUACAUCAAAAUAGUGAACUUCCUAGAGCCUAAACCCUAGGAAGUUAGCACUAAACUCUAGGAAGUUAGCUAAACUCUCGGAAGUUAAGCCAUCCCGUCGGAAGUUUGGCUCUCGGGAAUUUUUUGUCGGAAGUUAGCUUAACUUCCUAGAGCCCUCUAGGAAGUUAGCUAACUUCCUACAGCCAGCGGUGCCUCUCGGAAGUUAGUAGGUUCACGCCGUCAGCGCCGUCAGCUGGCUAACUUUCUACGGCUUACUGUAGCCCCUAGGAAGUUAGCUGACUAGCUUCCUACAGCUUCACUGUAGCCCCUAGGAAGUUAGCUGGCCAGCUAACUUCCUACGGCCUAGUUGGCCUCUAGGAAGUUAAUUUGACCAGCAUUACAAAUGUUGUUUAUUUUUAUUAUAUACCACAUUCCACAACAUAACAAAUAUAUUAACAGCUAUAGCACAACAUAUUUUCACAUAAAAUAUCUCACACACAAUCACAUAACAAUAUUAAAUCCAUAGUCUCAUCUAUUACAUCACAAAAGUCUCAUCCAUAGUCAUAAGACACAUCUCAUCCAAUCAUAAUAAGAGACAAUAUCUCAUAUAUAGUCAUAAUAAAAGUCUCAAGUAUCACAACACAUAACAUGGAAGCUCACGAUCGCCGAUCACCAUCGGGAUAUAGUGACGAGUGAUGGUCGAUACUUCCUAAAAGAGGUCGUAGGAAGUUAGCUUUUCUUUUGACUGGUCAAUAGCUGAAACCUAACUUCCUAGAGCAGGCCAUAGGAAGUUAGCUAACUGCCUACGGUUUUUUAACUUCCGACAGCUUUUAUAAAAGACCGUAGGAAGUUAUGUUUAUUUCCUAGAGCUAUCAGUUGCCUCUCGGAAGUUAUUUAUUUCCUACGGUUUGUUACAAAAGCUGUAGGAAGUUAAAAAACCGUAGGAAGUGUAUGAUUUUGGUGUAGUGUAUAGGUGCAAAGGCAAUGUAAACAUGACCUCAGUACUGUUGAAGGGCUGAAGAAUUUUGUAAGAUAAGUUACAAUUAUUUAUUGAUUUAUUAAAAAGUAGACCUACUUAUACAUCUGUUUUUUUUACAUUUUUACUACUUUGAUCAGAAUUAUACUAUGCAGUAUAUUUCUUCUGAAUAAUGACUAGUCAUAUUUUAGAGAUGGUUAAUAUCAUUUCUUUUCCUGUUAGUAUUAUGAUGCCUUAUAAAUAAUUUAAUGCAGUAUUUUAUGAUGGCAAUUUACCAAUGGUGUCUUGCUUCUGCGGCUGAUCUAGAUGGUUAUCUCAGUAACUUGAGUUUUGUUUUCUGAAUAAUGAUAUGGUGCAAGUGCAAUCACAUUUUAAUGACUAAUUACUAGUCUUUAAUUUUAUUUCUUUUCUCGUUAAUACUAAUAAUGUCUUACAAUAAUUUAAUGGUACAUACCUUUUCUAUGAUGCUGUUGGCAUUUUGCUUGCACUGUUGAUCUAGAUGAUUAUCUAGCUGAUUUGUGAGUUCAAUGUAGGUGUUCAUGAAGUCUAUUUUGCCGUGUCUGGUCUUAGCCGCGGUUUCAUGAACGUUCUAGAUUUGUCCCCUCAAUUCAUUACUCAUAGACCUGUUUGAAACCUCUAGAAUUAAUAGUUAGCCACUAAAAUUAGUUGUAGAGGUUCCAAACACCCCUCAACUAAUAGUCAACUAAAUGCCAGCUACCUCACAGCUAACAAUUAUUCCAUUAGCUGGCUCAAUCCGAUUAAUGAUUUGUUAGCUGACUAACUAUUAGCUUUAGGGGUUCCAAACAGAGCCUUAUAUUGAUUUUGUUUAUUCCUAUGACCAGCAGUAAGGUCGGGUAUCAAUGAAUGUAGAUACUAAUUGCUCGCUAGUGAUCGGUAUCCACCGCGACGGCUUUAACGGAGGCUGGUUUGGCUAGCCGGUUGGUGGGUCUGUUGAUCAGUUGAUUCGGUCGGUAUCCAUCAUGUUGAAGUCGAUAUUGAUCGGUGUGUUGGACGGUUCGAUCGAUAUCCAUCCAGUAUUGAGUAUUGAUCGACUUUAUGUGAUGUGUUUUGAUUUGUUCACGUGUGUGUCACAUCAACUACUUGUUUUUAA
rnacentral:lncRNA from 1 species